rnacentral:rRNA from 1 species
GGCUCAGGACGAACGCUGGCGGCGUGCUUAACACAUGCAAGUCGAACGAUGAACUUGGAGCUUGCUCUGGGGGAUUAGUGGCGAACGGGUGAGUAACACGUGAGUAACCUGCCCUGGACUCUGGGAUAACCCCGAGAAAUCGGAGCUAAUACCGGAUAGGACCUGGAACCGCAUGGUUUUGGGUGGAAAGUUUUUUCGGUCUGGGAUGGACUCGCGGCCUAUCAGCUUGUUGGUGAGGUAAUGGCUCACCAAGGCGUCGACGGGUAGCCGGCCUGAGAGGGUGACCGGCCACACUGGGACUGAGACACGGCCCAGACUCCUACGGGAGGCAGCAGUGGGGAAUAUUGCACAAUGGGCGAAAGCCUGAUGCAGCAACGCCGCGUGAGGGAUGACGGCCUUCGGGUUGUAAACCUCUUUUAGUAGGGAAGAAGGGCUCGGCUGA